rnacentral:rRNA from 1 species
UACAGAGGGGGCAAGCGUUAUUCGGAAUUAUUGGGCGUAAAGGGCGCGUAGGCGGCUUUGCAAGUGACGGGUGAAAUCCCACGGCUUAACCGUGGAACUGCCUGUCAGACUGCAUGGCUUGAGACCAGGAGAGGUGAGUGGAAUUCCCAGUGUAGCGGUGAAAUGCGUAGAUAUUGGGAGGAACACCGAUGGCGAAGGCAGAUCUCUGGGCCGUUACUGACGCUGAGGAGCGAAAGCGUGGGGAGCGAACAGG